CCUACGGGAGGCAGCAGUGGGGAAUUUUGGACAAUGGGGGCAACCCUGAUCCAGCCAUGCCGCGUGCGGGAAGAAGGCCUUCGGGUUGUAAACCGCUUUUAGUCGGGAAGAAAAGGUUAUCCCUAAUAAGGAUGACUCUUGACGGUACCGGCGUAAUAAGCACCGGCUAACUACGUGCCAGCAGCCGCGGUAAUACGUAGGGUGCGAGCGUUAAUCGGAAUUACUGGGCGUAAAGCGCGCGCAGGCGGAUUGUUAAGCAAGAUGUGAAAUCCCCGGGCUUAACCUGGGAAUGGCAUUUUGAACUGGCAAUCUAGAGUGUGUCAGAGGGGGGUAGAAUUCCACGUGUAGCAGUGAAAUGCGUAGAGAUGUGGAGGAAUACCGAUGGCGAAGGCAGCCCCCUGGGAUAACACUGACGCUCAUGUACGAAAGCGUGGGUAGCAAACAGGAUUAGAUACCCUGGUAGUCCACGCCCUAAACGAUGUCAACUGGUUGUUGGGAGAGUGAAAUCUCUUAGUAACGAAGCUAACGCGUGAAGUUGACCGCCUGGGGAGUACGGUCGCAAGAUUAAAACUCAAAGGAAUUGACGGA
rnacentral:rRNA from 1 species